rnacentral:lncRNA from 1 species
GGGAAUUAGAAUAAUGGAGAUGCUGCUGAAGGAACAGUGUGGUGCCCCCUUAGCUGAAUAAGGAAUCAUCAGUGAGUACCAAAAGCAAAAUCAGAAUCAUUUACUCAAGCCAUGUGUUCAUGAUUAUGAGCUUGGCAUUAUGUAUCAGUCUCCCUGGGCUAUUCAUGCUGUAUAUUUCCCAGCUAUGUCUGCAGAAUGCUAUUUCACAGGUGUUUUGUUAUCUAUUCAGUACCUUUAUUUGCUUGGUUCUUUGAUUUUCAGAGCAGUUUUGUACUACGUGCUGGGUCACAACUGCAUUCAAAUUGUUAAAACUGUUCAAUAUAAUCUACCCUGAUUGAGACCCUCAAGGUGGCAUAGAUUUGUAAAGACUGCAGCUCAGGAUUAACUGAAGCUUAAUAUUAUUGUUCAGAGAACAACAAAAGCAGAUUUAAAACUGUUAUUGGAGCAGGAAGGAUAACAAGAAGGGAAAAUGUUGAUUGGCCAGUGAAACAAAUGUUAUCUUAUUAGUCAUACAGGUUGAGCAUUCCUAAUCUGGAAACCCAAAAUAAGAAAUUCUCCAAAGUCUGAAACUUUGAGUGCUGACAUGAUGUCACAAGCGGAAGAUUUUAUACCUGACCUUACAUGAUGAUGGCAGUCCAGGUGUACUAAAAAUAUUUCCUAAAUUUACCCUUAGGCUAUGAGUAUGAGGAGUAUAUGAAACAAAAAUGAAUUUCAUGUUUGGGUCCCAUUUCCAGGAUAUUUCAUUACGUAGAUGCAAAUAUUCCCAAAUCUGAAAAUAUGUAUGUUCCCAAUCCAACAUACUUCUGGUCCUAAGCAUUAUAUAAAGGAUACUCAACCCACUGAUUGAAGGUGUCUGCCUGAAAUGCUAUUCUGAAAGAUUCUAAAGCUUGAAAAUAGUGCUAAGGCUUUGGGUAAGGGAACCUUGAGUGAUUUGUAAUGUAUGCUAUGGUCACAGGCAGCAAACAAGACAGCUCUUGUGUAUGGCAAAUGGUGAAGGGUUAACAACAGAUACUGGGGAAUCACAGAACUAUUCACUUUCCCUCCCCUGGUAAUUUCUAUUGUCUACAUCAAGGAGAAAGUUUUUCAUAGUGGAAAGGAUGGGACAAAGCUAUUUAAUAGAGAAUAAAACCAAAAUAAAUGAAUAACAUCUUGCUGAAUUUAAAGGUAGAUUUUUAACAUUAGAGAGAAGGUAAACCUCCGAGUAAAGCAAACAGUGCUUUGGGUAUUUCAGAAUUACCUUAUGUUGGCUUAAAAACACAGUAUAUGGUUUUGUAUAAGUGACCUCGUGUUCUAAUUGUAAUGCACAAUGAACUCUGAGAGCAAUUUAUGAAAGAAUAAGCAAAAGGAACGCUUGUAUACAAAUGCCUUGGUAUUCAAAGCAUGCUGGCCAGGCUUGUGAAUGAACAUCAGUUGGAAAUUGUAAAGUGUUUCUGUUUUUUGCAGAUUGGACUCCAUUCUGAUUAAGCUUCCAUACUUGACACAUAUUAAUAGAUUUCAUUAUUACUGGAAAGGCUAAACAAGAUCGUUUUACAUAGCACACACGGCAGGUGCUCAUAAAAUGUCAGAAUUUAAUCUUAAAUGUUUUACUCCCCAUUCCUUAAGAAAUUGUAGAGAAGAAUGUGGCCACGUCACCCGAGGCUCACUGAGCAUUGCUUGUAUUUGGGCACACAUUUUACCCUGGCUGGUGGGAUCUAAAGUCAGGUUCUGGUUCCAUGAAGGCAUGAGGGGCCUCCGAUUACAUAUACCUAUCGUUUUUCAAACUUCAAAUUAGUGUCAUUAAAACUUUAGCAGACAUCAGAAUCAUCUGGAAGACUUGUUAAGCACAGAAUGGUGAUUCAGUAAGUUGGGUGGUCUCCUGAGCGUUUGUGUUUCUAGAACACGUUCCAGGUGAUGGUGAUGGUGGACCCAGGACCACAUUUUGAGAGUGACUGCUUUAAAUGAGUUCCCAUUUUUGGAUGGAGACAGAUUCAGUGCUUAUCCACUAGGGGGGCUUACAGCUGGGGUUUUGAAAUUGUUGCCCGAAUUUGGUCAACUUUAGAUUAAUUGGAAGAAUGGUUUUCUUUGUAUGCCUUUUCUCUGAUUUUAGCAUCUCAGUCUUGCUUGCCUUUUUUUGGUGAUUUGAAUGUUGACAAGCCCUAGGCUGAAGUGGACACAAUUGGUAAAAGAGCUGAGACUCAGGUCAUCUUGUGCUUUGAAGCAGCUUGGAUUUAAAGUGUUGUUAGUAAAGAUGAGCAAAUUAAAUAAUUUAGUAGCAUUUCCUUUUGAUUACCUAUUAUCUUUUGUGUGUGUGUGUGUGUGUGUGUGUGUUUACUGUGAUUGAGGCCUAAGCCAUGAAUUCAGGGCUUUGCAUUGUUUGCAAAAAAAAAAAAAAGAAAGAAAACCAAUUCAUUCUCCUCUCUUUCAAGUGGAGUGGUGGUGUUUAAGUCUGCAUAUAGCCAGGAGGUUAGUAUAGGAUAGUUGCGUUUUUUCACAGUCAAUAUAAUAGAAUUCAUGAAGGAUUUACAUAAUUCAAACUCAAAGUUCAUAACCAGUUUUUCUCAGAGGAGAAAAUGUAAAGUGAGCACAUACCCAUUAACUCUCACUAAUAAAUCUACAAUUACUGUAAACUAAAGGCUGUUGCUAAGGCUUUAAGUUUUUCUCAAAAUUAGCUUCAGUGAGAUAUCACUUAUAUACAAUUAAAUAUAUAUAUAAUUUGUGUGUUUGUGUGUAUGUGGUGCUGGGGAUUGAACCCAGGGCCUUGUGCACGAGAGGCACACUCUCUACCAUAAAUGAACUAAUUUUAAGAGUACAGUUUGUUGAGUUUUGAAAAAUGAGUCAUAUAAGCAUUGCCACAAAUAUGGUACAGAAAAUUUUGAGGCUUUGAUGUUACCAACUUAUCCCCUCCCACACAAAUUUCUUGUCUAUUUUUACAAAGCUUUUCAAUUUUGAGAUGUUUCUGUUUUAAUGAAACUUUUUAUUCUCUUUAAAAUAGCUCUAAGGAAAAUGUGGGGAUGGUUUUAGGUGUGUCAAAGGAUUACUUGUUUUUGAGUAGUGUAAAGCUAUGUUAAAAGAAAUGGGACACCAUACUUAGACAGUAGGGAUGAGAAUAUGAUAGUCCAAUAAGCUAAAUCAAGUCUGCUGUCUACUUUUAUAAAUAAAGUUUUAUUGGGACACAGCUAUGUACUUGACUAUGUUCAGACUUAAAACAGCAGAGCUGAAUACUUGUGAUAGUAGAGACCUUAUAGUCUGCAAAGCCUAACAUAUUUCUUAUCUGGCCUUUUAAGGAAAGAAUUAUUGCUUCCUGAGUUAGCAUCCUAAAUUAGUCCAAAUUAAUGUCAAGGAGUGUUGUGAUUGCCUUUUUGUGUGUGUGUGAUGCUGGGUAUCAAACCCAGGACCCUUUGCAUGCUACAUAAGCACUCUUGUCAUUGACCUACAUUCACAACCUUUUUUACUUUUCAUUUCAGUUCAUUUAUGUAUUUUUUACUGGUGUUGACCUUUUUUCUUUUAAAAAAAAUUCAGUAUUUAGCCAGGCACGUUGAAGAAUUAAGACUCUCAAAAUCAACCAAACACAGUGGGGCACACCUGUAAUCCGAGUAGCUUGGGAGGCUAAGGCAGGAGGUUCGCAAAUUCAAAGCCAGCCUCAGCAACUUAGUGAGACUCUGAGCAACUUAGCGAGACCUUGUCUCAAAUUAAAAAGUUAAAAAAAGGCUGGGGAUGUGGCUCAGUGGUUAAGUACCCCUGGGUUCAAUCCUCAUUAUAGAUAGAUAGAUAGAUAGAUAGAUAGAUAGAUAAACAAACAAACAAACAGUAUUCAUGAUAUCUUACCUAUGUUCCAAAGUUUAUAGUUUGGCAGUUUAUUUCCCCUGCAUUGAGUCUAGGAUUAUCACUUUUGUGAUUUGGAUGAUGGUAUUUUCAGGAUACAUAAAAAGUACUAAAAUGAUAACAGUGAACUUAAAAUACCAGCCACAGUGGUCAUUAAAAUUGCUCAUAAAGUUCUCAACACACAUACCCAGCGGAGUAGAAAUACAGGCAUUUUGUUAGCAAAUAAAGUGGCACUGUGGUGUGACGGUAGUAGAGGUGCUGUUUAUAAUUUACACAGUAUUCUAGACUGUGGAAUUUUGCUGCUCUCAAUUCUUAAAAGAUAUUUUGCUGGAUUUGUAAAAAUGUGCAUAAGGAGAGAUUACUUAAUAUUUUAUAUCACGCUGUAUUUCACGUUUGCAUAACUUAAAUACACAUAGAAUGUGACUACAUUUUAUAUGGUUCUCACAAUUAAAGAUAACUUCCUCAAAUUCUCUGACCUGUAUAUCCAAACGUAUGUUUGAAAAUUAGAAAACUUAGAAGGUGAUUUUGUCAUGAGCCAAAACGGAGGCAUAUAAAUCUCAGUCGCCAGUAUGCUUGUGGCGUUGCUGCUGACACAUCAUUUGAUAGAUUUUUGAUUUCCUGUCAUUUUUGAAUAAAACAAAUAGCCCUGACAUCUGUUUGUUCUUGCCACUGGCAGUUGGGAGACUGGACUUGUGAGGUUUGAUAACACAGCAGCAUUCUGUUACAUCGUGAUGAUUAAGACCUCAAUUUUAGCUAUAUCUUAAACUCCUCUCUGAACCAGCUCCUCUAGCUAGUUGGACUUAAUAAAAUGAGGUGCUGGCUUUGUUCGAAGAUCAUUAGGAGGUAGGAAUGCGAUUUCUUCAAGAAUUAUCCAUAAUGAUGAAUUCAAGUGACUCUGAGGAGUUGCUUCAGAAAAGAGGGCAAAUAAGUAUCGAUCAGUAGACAUGUUUAUUAGGUGAUAAAGCCUGUUUGUUUUCUCUUGCAGGGGAGCCGUGUCCAAGUGGGCUUCUUUCCAAUAAUAACUUCUUGGCCACAACACAUCGUAGGCACAGUUCCUGGAAUACAGGUUUGAGGAUACAGUAUUGGCAGAAUAAAGAAGAGGAGACAUCCUUGCCAGGACAUAAAACGAUACCCUCCCCUUGGAGCCUGCUUCAAAUAGUGGGACUCAUGGAGAUGAGACCAUCUAGCUGGAUUUUUAUGAACAGUCUCUUUAUGAUUUUAUAAAUAAAGAAAAAGAUCCAUGUGAGAUGACAUCCACUCUUCCUCAGGAUGUCCUGCUACUUGUUUGUGAUGGCACCAGGGCAGUCAAAGGCCUGGGGCGGUGGUGCUUGUACCCAUAUUUUAACAGCAUGAUUGUUCAUGGGAUUCAUGAGUGGAUUCUGGAACAUAUAAAGUUGUUGACUCGAUUACCUGUUCUAGGGGGCUUGAAACAGGCAUGUGCCAGACCUGUGCUGAAGCUAAGCCAUAUGUAUACCAAUGUUUAAGAUUUUCAGAAAUCAAAGACUUUUGAUGCAUAAGCACUGUUAGCAUAGCUUUCAUAAUGUAGCAUGAACUGACUGUGCUUGGUGCUCUAGAAGAACAUGGAAUGGAUGGUGGAAGGCAGGUUCUGGUCAUGACUCCCAGUAACUCAUCCUGUGAUAUGGAGCAAGUCAUUCAGCUCUGCUUUUUUUUUUUUUUUUUUACUGGAAGAGUGGGGACAAUCAGGCACAGGUCUUUUGCCUCUGGGUUGUGAUGACUAACAAGAUAGUUUAAUUUGAAGAACACAAAUUUGGGAGUCAGAUAGAUAGACAUGGAUUUGAAUACAAACCCGUCUACUAGUUCAUUGAUCACAUUCAUAAAAAUCUUCCUGAAGCUCAUUUUUUCACGAUUUAUAAAAUGAGGUGAUGAGAUGAACUCUGAGGUUUUUGAACUGCUUUGAGAUCACGAAUAUAAAAUGCUCAUCAUGUGGCUUGAUGCCCGGAAACCCAGUAAAUAGAAGCCAUUAUUAUGUAAAACCAUUUGAACAUAUAGUUUUCAACUGUAAUGUCAGGGAGUAUUUGUUUGAAAAUUAGAUGACAGUAGUUUGCCUUUCUCAUGAUGAGAAGCCGAAAUAUGAAAGUAUGCUACCUAACAGAGAGCUUGAAGAGAGGCAAUGAUUUGGAAUUCAUCUUAAGAUAAAAAUUGGGCCAUUACUGGAAAUUCUUGGGGAGAUUGUUCUUUUUUUAAUAUUUGAAAGAUUUCCACUUAGUGCCUUGAUGAAUUUCAGAGCAAUUCUACUUUCUCAUACAAGCCUGCCACGGUGAGCCUCCUCUCCUGUACUUGAGCUGUUUGUGCUGCUUGAGUCUUGUCUCCUGGGAUAAUUUCUCUUCCAUCUCCUCAGUGUUUUAUUCAGUUCUGUUGGAGGGAAAAUGAAUGGUAGAAACCAGAACACAUUUUGACCUUCUCUUCCAUUUAGUAGGGUUUUGGAAUAAUAGCCCCUUUCCAAAAGUAGGAGGUGAUAUAAAUUGUUGAAGGUGAAAGGCAAAAAUUUUUAUUUGGAGAUUGAUGUUGGGUAUAAGCUUAACCUUUCCUACUGAACAAUGUGCAUCCUCUGCAGGCCAGAGUUCUCAGCCUUGGCUGUCCAUUCGGGUCACUUGGGGAAGGCAAUGCCGUCCUGAUGACCUGGGCUGCACCUAGAUCAAGAAAUCAGGACCUCUGGAGGUGGAACCCAGGCAUCAGUGUUUUCAGAAGUUCCCCAUGUGAUUCCAGUGGGCAUCUAAUUUUAUACAUUUAUCUGAUUUCUUUCAUAAUGUGUCAGAGGUAGGAAAGGAUCUCUGUAACAGGGACUUUUACUAGAAGCAGAGUGUAGCAGAGAGAGGCUGAAUUGGUGCCUUGGUUCCCUGUAGCUGGGGUGGCCAGUGCCAAUGUGAGCAGCGACCUGGCAGCUGGUCUGAAGAGUGAAGCAGGUAGCUGCUGUCGAGGUCCAGGGAGCGCAUGUCUGGUUGAGAGUAAGCAGCUGCUGUCCAGCACCAGCACAGUGUAGCAGUGUGGCUGUUUUUUCUAUUUUAUUUUCAAUUUUCCAGGAAAAGGAAAAAAAAUAAAAAGAGAUCUCUUAAUUUUCAUGUUGCAAAAAUUUCAGAAUUGCUUAAAGUCUCUUCUAGCCAAAUAGGUUUGCCAGCCAGUACUUUUCAGCCUGUGUUUGUAGGGUGUUAAGGAUUGGCCUGCACAUCCCAGCCAAUUUUUAAUAGAUUUGCAUGUUUGUAUUCUGGACAUAAAAUGCAUCCUGCCUUUCCUCCAAGAUUGCUUUUGGAUGCAUUUUUCUUCCUCGUUCCACAGUAAUCCUCUGGACCUGCAUCAAACACUUUUCCUCACUCAGUAUUUUUCCCCUACAGGCAUCUUUUACUUCAAGCUUCAUAUACAUGGUUUUCAAAAACUUAUGGAGUUUUCAGAAUUAAUUAAGGUUUUUUAGAUUCAUUUAACUUAUAUGCAUAUUAUAGAAUCCCAUCUUUUACUUUGUCAUCUGAUAUGUAGUGUAAGAAAUGUCAAAGCUAGGAUUGCUGCUUUGAUGGACACACUAGGAACAAGAGUGGGAAGGGUAAAUUCACAGACCUGGCUGGUCUCCUCCUGACGGGGCCAGUGAGCCUGCCCUUCAAAGAGAGGAUGUACCAGACACCCCUGGAGGGGUGUAUUGACCUGCAGGCCCGCUGGUCCUUCCUCCAGAGAUUCUGACUCAUGCACUUUCAAUUGGAACUCAGGAUCUGCAUUUUGACACAAGUUCUCCAGGAGAUUUGGUUGUGCUGUUCCACAGACCACAUUUUGAGAAGCACUCAUUUGGGAGAGGUAUUUUUGGCCUCAAUGACUCCUUCAUUUAGGACAGUUUUACAGUCAGUUUGGCCCCCUGAUCAAUGUAGUUGAUCACUCAGAACUCAGUAUGAAGUUCCUGUGCAGAGAGAGGCUGACUCAAGCUAUCCCUACAGUGAUUGAGGUACUUUUCCCAGGAAGGCUGUUAGGAUUUAAAUUAUAUAUAAAUGAAAAAGGUGCUGCAUUAUUUUUAUAUGAAUUGCUUUGUGGCUUUUUUUUUUCUUUUUUGUGGUACUGGGGAUGGAACUCAGGGCCCUGUGCAUGCUAAGCACAUUCUCUACCACUGAGUUGCACCCCCAGCUCUACUCUGUGUUUUUUAUAAGCAGCGUAUAUGUAUUAACAAUCCCAUUUAUUAGAUUUCGUAGGGCACACAGUAUAGACAACUCAAGGUUAUUUUUUUAAGUUGGACUCUUUUUUUUGCUGUUUCGACCAUUUCCAUGGAAUUGUUUCUUAAUCUAGUAUACGUUCCCUGCUUUGAAAAACAGAAGCAUUGAAGAGAAUGAAAUGUUUUCAGGUCCUCAUUUGUGUUUUUAAUUAUGACAUGCUCUGUCUAGGUUUAUUAGAGUCCUACACUGAAUAGCCCCAGAUGUAUUUGCUCUUUGAGUUCCAUGGUGGUUUUAAGAGUUUUUCUUUCCCCUCACUGUUAGCUGUCAUUUCUCUCUGCUAUUUUGGUGUCUGCCUCUGGAAGCUUCCACUAUUUGCUAUGGGGUUGGGAAAUCAUGUAACUGCAUCCUCUACCUCAUGACGUGAACAGCAGCUGAAUGAGGCUUUUUGAACGUUAAAAUGGGUGAACUUUGCUACAUUGACUUGUGACAUUAUUCGUGGCUCGGCUCCCUCCUUCCAACUUAUUUUCUGAUCUUCAACUGCGGUUGUCAGAUCUGCGACCUCAAGAUAAGCAAGACGUUGGUAGAAAUCAUUUCUCCUGAUGGAUGAACCAUUGCUUUUCUCAAUUGUGUUAAUUUUUUCUAUAUAUCGUCCUAUCAUGUGAAAUGUAGUGGAUUAAAAUUCAAAUGAAAAUUUCUCAGGCCCGGUUUUUAUAUAGGAUAAAAUAUUUUAUAUUCAGUAUUACUGUGAUUUAGAUCUAUAAAUCAGUUGCGUGCUUAAGAAAUUCUGUCCUGCAGUCUUUCUGAAAUAAAGGUGUCACAACCAAUAUUUAUGUGUGAAUUCUAAUU